UUGGUUCUUGAUCACCAAGCAUAUUGCAUUUGUAUAUCAUGGCCUUUCAUAUGUUUACUAACCAAAAGUACAAAAAUAUUGUCAUCUAACCAUGUUACUUGCAGAUGAAGCAAUCAACAGUCAAUCAGUCAAAUUAGUCAUUGAACAGUGGAUGGUGGCCAUUCUUGAAGAAUUUGGGAACCAUGAUCAUAAUCAAGAGUUCAUAUAAGUUGUGAUGUCAUUUGGUAUCAAGAUCUCAAG
rnacentral:lncRNA from 1 species